rnacentral:rRNA from 1 species
UCAGUCGACUCCUACGGGGAGGCAGCAGUGGGGAAUAUGCACAAUGGGGGAAACCCUGAUGCAGCCAUGCCGCGUGUGUGAAGAAGGCCUUCGGGUUGUAAAGCACUUUCAGUAGGGAGGAAGGUAGUGUAGUUAACACCUGCAUUAUUUGACGUUACCUACAGAAGAAGCACCGGCUAACUCCAUGCCAGCAGCCGCGGUAAUACGGAGGGUGCGAGCGUUAAUCGGAAUUACUGGGCGUAAAGCGCAUGCAGGCGGCCUGUUAAGUCAGAUGUGAAAGCCCGGGGCUUAACCUCGGAAUUGCAUUUGAAACUGGCAGGCUAGAGUCUUGUAGAGGGGGGUAGGAAUUUCAGGUGUAGCGGUGAAAUGCGUAGAGAUCUGAAGGAAUACCAGUGGCGAAGGCGGCCCCCUGGACAAAGACUGACGCUCAGAUGCGAAAGCGUGGGGAGCAAACAGGAUUAGAUACCCUGGUAG